GAAAAGGAAGAGGGAAAGGAAAAGGGAGAGAGCAAUACAGGUUCUGUCUAAUGUUAACAUCUCUUUGUGUUCUGUAGUUAAACCGUAAACAAAGUUGGACUAUAGAAUCACAUAACAGCUCAGGUUUGAGGGGGUCUUAAAAGAUCAUCUGUUCCAACCUUUCAUGGGAAAGGUAGCCUAGAUUAAAUUAGAUGUUUAUUCAGUCCCAUUUUGAAAGCCUACAGUGAUGGUGAUGCUGCCACAUUCCUGAGGAGGUUGUUCAUAAAUGAUUGUUCUUACUGUACAAAAUUUCUUAUGUCGAGAUGAAAGAUGGAGAACCCAUUGCCAGGAGGAUGAAUGAUGGAGAAUCCAUUACCAGAAGGAUGAAUGAUGAAUAACCCAUUACCAGAAGGAGGCUGCUUCAUUCUUCCGGUACCAUAAAACCUUGAUUGUCUAGAGGAUUUGUCUUAGAGAAUAAUGCUGUUGUGUGCCACAAGCAACCACUGCUUCAGUUUGGUUCAUCUCCUAGCAUGUCUACAAAAGGGUGUUUAUACCCAGCCUUAGUUCCCUCAUGUAGGAGUCACUACAGCUAAAGAAAACCCUCCUAGCACGAGUUCUUGAAGAACUACUAUUUAACCUUUGAAAGCAAAUGGAAUUUGAGUCAAAACAGUAGUUGCUCCAGACUACAAAAGCCUGGAAGUCCUGCUCCUGAAUUUGCUGAGUUGCAGCAGAUCCCCAAAGAAACAAUUGCUGUUAUCAGAGCAGAUCCAGUUCAUUUAUUUUGCUGUAAAAUAUCUUUCUUAUACAAACUCUGAGAUAAUACUUAAGUACUACAGAAAAUUAACGUCUUGACAUCCUUGGAUUUCAGGUCAAACCCAUAUACUACUUGGAUUCUCUAGUAGCACUGUGAUAGAUUUUCUAGGAGUCACCUUACUCAGGUAGAUCUUUUCUCAUCCUCCAAUUUUCCUGGAAGAAAUGAGACCAAUCAUAAGACUUUCAAAUACAUAUUUUAAUGUAUUUUUCAAAAAUAUUAGUGUAUUUACAUAAAUUUCUCAUUUAGAAAUAUCUUGUACUUGCCUAUUUUAAAACACCUGGUUUAAAAAAAGUUCAGCCAGAUGAUUACAUUACACAGAUUUGAAAGAACAUUGACUGUAGAUAUGAGCAAUUAAAAAAUACAACAAAGAAAUAUAUACCAUUGCAUUAAGAUUUAGUGCACAUUUUUAAGUUGCUGACUUCUACAAAUUGUUCUUCCCAUAAAAAUUGCUUAGUCUGUGUCAGUAACUUGUACCCACUUUUACAUUGGAAUUUGCAUUUCCUUUUUCCUCACAGAAUCUCUCCCCCCCCCUUUGCCUAUACAAAGGUUGCAAUAAAAUGCAUUACAGUAGUAUUUCAUUUACAAAGCAAAUGACAUUAAAACUUGUUUCUUAACCCAUUGGAUUGUACUUUAGUAAAACAAUGUCCUUUCAUGGAGGUGCAGCACAGAUUCCAAGAGCUGCCUGGAUGUGGAAAAUGGUCACUCUUUCGAAGCAGUCCUGCCUGGGAAGGUUGAGUUGAAUUGCUUCAUGAUGCUGUGUCAAUUCCUCUUUGGAAGGAUCUCAUCCUCAGGUUUGGCAAUUAGGAUAGCAUGUUAAACAUUCUCAAGGCUGGAUUGGGCAUACCCCAUCUUCUGGACCUUCAGACCAAGCACUUCGCUGGCAGCCGUGUCCCUUGGGUAAAUGGGAUUCUGCAAAAUGACAGUGCAGCUUGUGUGGGCAGGGGACAGGCCACGUCCCAAAGAGAUUAGUAGAAAAGGAAGAAAGAAGCAGAGAGAAGAACGCUGGGAGGGAGGUGUGAUUUAUUGCUCUGAUGUCAUAAUUUCCUAGUUUAUCAGCUAUGUCUUAACCCCACUAAGGAGUACUUCAGAGGGCAGCAGAAGAGAGGAAUGUGAAGAGCAGAGAGGGAGAAAGAUGAAGAGGGGAAGGAAUCGUAGGGAAGAAAGGAGGAAUCGUAAACCUCUGAAGUUCCAAGUCAACUGAUGUGCAUUAAGAAACAUUAGCUAAGCAUUUUCAGCAGG